UACGUAGGGGCCUAGCGUUGUCCGGAUUUAUUGGGCGUAAAGAGCUCGUAGGCGGUUCGGUAAGUCAGGUGUGAAAUCUCCACGCUCAACGUGGAGGCGCCACCUGAAACUGCCGUGACUCGAGUCCGGUAGGGGAGUGUGGAAUUCCCGGUGUAGCGGUGAAAUGCGCAGAUAUCGGGAGGAACACCUGAGGCGAAGGCGGGUUACUGGGCUGAUACUGACGCUGAUGCGCGAAAGCCAGGGGAGCAAACGGG
rnacentral:rRNA from 1 species